AAUAGAUACCCGGGUAGUCCACGCCGUAAACGAUGAGUGCUAAGUGUUAGGGGGUUUCCGCCCCUUAGUGCUGCAGCUAACGCAUUAAGCACUCCGCCUGGGGAGUACGGUCGCAAGAUUGAAACUCAAAGGAAUUGACGGGGGCCCGCACAAGCGAUGGAGCAUGUGGUUUAAUUCGAAGCAACGCGAAGAACCUUACCAGGUCUUGACAUCCCACUGACCGCUAUGGAGACAUAGUUUUCCCUUCGGGGACAGUGGUGACAGGUGGUGCAUGGUUGUCGUCAGCUCGUGUCGUGAGAUGUUGGGUUAAGUCCCGCAACGAGCGCAACCCUUGAUCUUAGUUGCCAUCAUUUAGUUGGGCACUCUAAGGUGACUGCCGGUGACAAACCGGAGGAAGGUGGGGAUGACGUCAAAUCAUCAUGCCCCUUAUGACCUGGGCUACACACGUGCUACAAUGGACGGUACAAACGGUUGCCAACCCGCGAGGGGGUAGCUAAUCCGGUAAAACCGUUCUCAGUUCGGAUUGUAGGCUGCAACUCGCCUAC
rnacentral:rRNA from 1 species